UACAGGGGGUGCAAACGUUGCUCGGAAUCAUUGGGCGUAAAGCGCACGUAGGCGGUUCGUUAUGUCGGAUGUGAAAGCCCUUGGCUUAACCGAGGAAGUGCAUCCGAAACUGGCGAGCUAGAGUACGAAAGAGGAUCGCGGAAUUCCCGGUGUAGAGGUGAAAUUCGUAGAUAUCAGGAGGAACACCAAUGGCGAAGGCAGCACUCUGGGACGGUACUGACGCUGAGACGCGAAAGCGUGGGGAGCAAACAGG
rnacentral:rRNA from 1 species